rnacentral:rRNA from 1 species
GGAAUAUUGCGCAAUGGGCGAAAGCCUGACGCAGCGACGCCGCGUGUGGGAUGAAGGUCUUCGGAUCGUAAACCACUGUCGGGGGGGACGAACACCAUGACGGUACCCCCAAAGGAAGCACCGGCUAACUCUGCGCCCGCAGCCGCGGUAAUACAGAGGGUGCAAGGGUUGUCCGGACUCACUGGGCGUAAAGGGCGCGUCGGCGGCCCGAUAAGUAGGGGGUGAAAUCUUGCGGCUUAACCGCAAGGCUGCCUCCUAGACUGUCGGGCUCGAGCACGGCAGAGGCUGGUGGAAUUCCCGGUGUAGCGGUGGAAUGCGUAGAGAUCGGGAAGAACAUCGGUGGCGAAGGCGGCCAGCUGGGCCGUUGCUGACGCUGAGGCGCGACAGCGUGGGGAGCAAAC